GAGCACUGCUAUGCGGCCAGGAUUCUGAACGAAAUGUACAGCGACAAAUCAAACAGCAUGUACAUGCACUUUCUGCGGCCAAUUCCGGCCGAAAAUGCAUUUUUACUAGUUGUUAUCAUUCGGACUCAUGAUGUAAAGUUGUAUAUUGUAUAUUGUAUAUUCAGCUCGAAGUCAUACACGGACAAUGCGAUCUCUGAGCUCGAUAUAAAACAUGACAUAACGGUAAAUAACCGUUGAACUAUACAUACACGAUUUUGGCACGCUCUAGUGGCCAACCGAAAUCACCAUCAUAAUCAACAGCAUCAUCAUCAACAGCAGCGAUGGCUCAAACAAAGGACACGCACAAAUGGACACCACAGGAGACCAGACGGCUCAUUAAUUUCAGGGCGACCAGGGACAAUGAGUUUCUCAAGUCGAAAAUGAUCGCCAGAAAACAGUGGGAGUGAGUCUUACGUUGUUCAAUCUUUUCAUUCUUGCGUCUGUUUUCUACUUUGGUAUUUCUGUGUUGAGCUCAAUAGCCCACUGUGUGUGUGUGUGUGUGUGUGUGUGUGUGUGUGUGUGUGUGUGUGUGUGUUUGUGUGUUUGUUUUUUCAGGAUUUGAGGACUCCCAAAACUGGGUCGGGGACUGAAAGUGGGGAGGUGACUGUGGCGACGUGGCAGUAUUAUGAUUUGAUGCACGAGGUUCUUGGUGCCCGGCCAGCAAUUGACCCACCAGUCCUUGUGUCCUCGAUUCAAGACCCCAUGGUUAUCCUCAUGGAGAUGGUGGAGCCCUACAACCAAGCACCCCCGAUAGCAGCCAGCACCCCAGUACAACCUACCACAUCAAUCAUGCGAAGGAGGUCCAAAACAGUUUCAGAACUCCUGGCUGAGGAGGCCCUUCAGGAGCAGAGGCGCCAUGAAGAGAGUGAGGCCAAGAGAGAUCGCUUUCUUGAUCUCUUUGAGAGGAUGGUCAACAAAUUAUAAUUAUUGAUUUUUGUUGUUCCUAUGUUUUUUGUAUGCUAUUUAUUAUUCCUAUUUAUUAUUGUUGUAUAUAUUUCUAUUUAUUGCUAUUUAUUAUUUUAUGCUAUUUAUUAUUGUUUUAUAAUAGAACUAUCUGCUUAUUUAUAUUUAUUGUUAUUUAUUAAUUUAUG
rnacentral:lncRNA from 1 species